ensembl:lncRNA
GAUUCCAACUAUCGCACAGACCAUAACAACAACAAUUAAAUCUGUGCCCAGUUAGAGUAAAGUCUAUCCAUUGUCCAUGCCAUUACAUGAACCCUGUAACCUUCCUGAAAAAAGAUGGUAUUCAUUUCAAAAGCCUCUGCUUUGAGCAUCAGGGUCAGAAAAUAAUGAAUCCCAUAUUUUAGUGCUCAACCUUUUGAAUGAACUUUCUGCUUAAUGUCUUUUCCUACAAUGCAGACUAGCAGGCUGACACUUAAUGAUGGUAAUGUCAGAUUCUUUUCAGAUGUGGAAAUUGUCUAAGCUUUCCAUUCACAAUGAAAUAAAAGAGAUAGAGGAACAGUGUGAGACUGUGAGAAAUCACAUGCAAAAUUCAAAAGGAAUUUGAACAGGAAGUCAGGGCAAUUACACUGGAUUUCAUAAAGGGUCGUAGUUAGAUUUGGUGAAUAAAGUCGGUGACUUAAAUCCAAACGUAACUUCGUGUUGGAAAAUUUGCAUGUGUUCAUGGUUUUUCAAUAGUGUCCACACACAGGGAUAGGAAAUGUGGACUGAAGAAGGAAAUAGCAUUUAUUUCCUUUAGUAUGAGCGUAAUACGAUGUAGCCAACAAGCAAGAGAUUAACACACUGAAAUUUGAUUGCGAAGAUCUUGAAACAUCUAAUCUGAGUCCAGUGUAUUGACAAAAUACUGUAAUGCUGCAUGAACAGUAGUAAUUAUUACAUUGAAAGAGAUAACGUGUUCAGAGCUGGUGAUUAGGACUAUUCAUCCUUAAAAAAGCAAUAUCUUCAAACAGACAAUACUAUUAAUUAAUCCUUAGUGUAACAUUUCUGUAUUUAAUAUUGGGGUUCUCUCUCUCUCUCUCUCUCUCUCUCUCUCUCUCUCUCUCUCUCUGUGUUAUUAAACCAUUAUUACUCAAGAAAACGCACUAAAGUUGAAGGUUAGAAUCAGCCGCUACUGAGACACACCGUUGCUUUUUCCAGCAAGUGUGCAUAACUCUCAUGCAACAUCUGAAUUGUGGUUAAACCUGUAGCCGUGUUCGACGUCUGAUGGCCGAUGUGCACAAUUUUGGUAUUAAAUAUUAACCACCCCUCACAGAGUAAGAUGUACACUACUCAGACUGAUUCUCAGUACGCUGUUAUAACAGUGUGUUCUUGCCAAUCUAAUCCCAGAAGCCCUGCUCCUCUGUUACCUGUAUCACCCUUAAUUUGUCCAUAAACAUAAUCACACAAGCAGACUGUUGUGAAUAUUUAAGGUUAGGUUAAGAGCCAUUAAAAAGCCAUUUCAUAAAGGUUGCCUCCAAAUAUAUUCAAAUGCCUGCAAUUCAAAACCAGCAGCGUGGCGUCGUUACCUACUGAGUCACUUCUGUCACUACUGCCUCAAAUCAUUCAGUGAAAGUAAUUCAUUAUUACAUGUCCCAGUAAAGAAAUCCUGUGGUAAAAUAUCCGCCAGCUGGAGUUUCCAGAAGAUUAUGGUUUAAUUACGGUAAUCAAGCAAAGGUAUUAAUAUGUUAACACACGCACAUAUUAUAAAUCUCAUUAGCAAAGAUGAACUGUUCAACCUUUCUUUCUUCUCUAAGAAUUACAAAUCCUUCUUCUAAAAUUCAAAAUGCAGUAACUAAGACGCAGUAGUUUGCAGGCUACAAUGGCCCCAGCAUUUAUCUAACAUACUGUAUGUAUAUUUUGUAUUUUCUACAAAUUACUUUGAAAAUAUAUAUAUUUUUUAAACAGAUCUUUUUUGUUUUUAAAACAUUUUGCACUACAUUUGACUGUCAUGCUCCUUAUGAUUUUGUAUAAUGUCUGAAUACAUAUCUUAUCUAUCAUCUAUAUUAUUUGUUCUUCAUAGAAUGCUUUAAGAAAGAAUGACCAGUGAUUGCGAAAUGCGUACAAUCCUGGGCAAAAAAUGGCCAAGCCCAAAAAUGGCUAAAUAUUAAGUUUUAAAUGGUCUUAACAACAAACCAUUAGUCAGAACAUUUCCAAGAAUGAAACAAACGCACUCCUGAGACCUCCUGUGCCACCAUUUGCUUGUUUACUUUCCCAAAUUAAGUUACUUUAAAUAUAUGGUUAAUUCUUGCUAAUUUCCUAACUAAUGAUUUGUUGUUAAGCCCAAUAAAAGCUUAAUAAUUUUUUGAAAUUUUGGGCUUGGACCAUUAUUAUUUUUGUGUAGUGUGAUUACAUUAUGCCAGUGUAGUUAAAAAAACAAACAAACAUACAGCAUGAUGUAGUAAAUGCUUAAAUUAAAUUGCAUUUGUGAUUCAUUUAAUUGCACAUAUUGAAUGCAAAUGUUGCAUUCAAGAAUGCUGGAAUCUUUUUUUAAAGCUCCAAUGUUGACCUAACCAUAACCCUUCGUCAUUCGUGAUCUGAGUUGGAGCCUGCAAACUGCACAAAGUUACAACUGGGUGAUCAUGCUGGAGUAACAACCAUGUUCAUUCACACGGUUCAUACAUUUUCAAAUUUGAAAAAAAGAUGUGGAAAAUCUGUACCAGUGAUAGCACUGCAUUUCAUACAAAAAAACUACUAUCGUUCACAUCACUUCUUUAUAACCUUUAUAGAGGUUAUAAAACCUAUUAUAUUUUCCACUUUUCUGAGAAUAUGUCUGCACACAGCACUCACAAGUCUACUCAAACCUUCCCUGGCUAAAACUGCCUCAGAAAAGGAACAAAUCAAUAUAUGAAAACAUACCCAUAUAAAAAGAAAUAAAGACUACAAUGAUGUAAAGGUGUGAAUCAACAUAAGCUGCUGCUUUAAUCCCCUCUUGGGUCACAACAAGCCGAGUUCCUGAAGCGUGCGGAGAUAUGAUGGAGAGAAAAGAGAGCUCAAGGCAAUAAAAAAUGGAUGGGAGAGGCUGAGGCAGAAUGCUUCUCUCUUUAUGAAUAUUUCAAAGCGCAAUGAAUCCUGUUAAAAUUACACCAAUAUGACUGUAUAACACAAAGUGACAAUUAGCAGCGCAUAUACAAUCUUGCUGGUAAUAUAUAAAAAGAAAAGGAAAAAAAACCCGUAAUUGCAGUAUUUUCACCUCGUAGUGAAUGGAGGGAAACAACGGACAAUAAAAUGAGUUAAAAUUAUUCAUAAAAAUGGCAUUUUCAUAUUGUCUUUUUAUUGCAAAGAAACCGGUGGCAGUAAGUGCAUUUUAAAUCAAAUCCACACAAAUCGGUGGGAGGACGUAUAUGGAGAAAUGCAUGCACACACAUAUACAUAGUGAUGAGAAUUGCAUCAUUUGAGUAAUUAGAGGAAAUCAGCUCUGUAAUUUUAUUAUACUGUAUAGGAGGGUUCACACAUGUUAGCUACAUUUCAGUAAACAAAAACGUAUGCAUUCAUAAGCAUUAAAAAGAUAUGUAUAAAAAAAAACAAAAAACAGAGAACCACAAGCAAUAGCACUUUGGCAAUAAUUCAGCUGGUCGUGUUUGGAGAAAGAAGGAUCGAGCGUACAAUCCCAAGAACACCAUACGCACAGUGAAGUACAGAGGUGGGCUACGGAGCGGCUUCUCCGUAAAUAAUACUGGGGCGUUACACGUCAUCGAAGGAAACAUGAAUGGAGCAAUGUCCUGGGACAUAUUAAAGGGGAAUUUAAUCUCAUGGUCCAAGAAACUAAAUCUUUGGAGAAGAUGGACAUUUCAACAAAUGACCCCAAACAUACAGCCAAAAUACUCAAGAAGAUCUUUUGAAUUGCGAGUUCAUCAGAGGUACUCUCAACAUAUUCCUUUGGGGAAUUAAAGCUGCUUUGCCAAGAGGAAUGUGCCAAAUUUGAACCACAUUGCUCCAAUAAGCUAAUUAUUUCUUACAGUAGGUGUCUGAGAAGCUGCAAUAGAUUUGCAACAAGGUACUAAUGUGUGGUGUGGUUAAAUAUAUCCUUGUUUAUGCUUAUGAAUACACAUUUUUUUUGUUCAUGAAGUCAAAAGACAUAAUGUGUGUACAUUUGAAGUGGAUUUAUGAAUCAGAUGUAUAUAAAAUAAUAAUAAAAAAAAAAGUCUAAAUACUUAUUUCCUCUAACUGUAACUGAGAAGGGAUCAUGAACUAUAGGCAGGUAUAUUUCUUGCUAGCCAGUCAGGGGGUUUUGACUCUUUGUCUUUAAUUUAUUUAUUCAUUUUCAUAUGGUUCAUUUACAUGUGAUUCAUUUACAUGUGAUUGAUUUACGUAUGAUUCAUUUACAUGUGAUUCAUUUACGUAUGAUUCAUUUUCAUGAGAUUCAUAUUCAUGAGAUUUAUAUUCAAGUGAUUCAUUUUCAUGUGAUUCAUUUAUGUAUGAUUCAUUUACAUAUUUGCUUCUCUUUGAAUCCAGUUUUAGAUAUUGUGAUAUUACAAAGGUGAUAUUACAAAGGUCUUUCCAGAUUAUUACUUGCUACGCUGUAUGAGAUAACCCCAGUAAAAUUGCCUGUAUUCUAUAAUAUAAUUUGCUCACCAUGUUAGGUUUAAAUCCUCUAAAAACAGAUUCGCAAUUAAAUAACAAAUUAAAUAACAUUACAUCCUUCGAAGCAUUGCCAUGUUUCGCUUACUCUCACAAUCCUUGAUUUUGGGAUUUUGACUCUUUAAGUUAAACAGCUCAAGUCAAUUUGACCUGCAACAUCCCUGCACUAACACACCUAGUAGUUAAACCUGAUAAUUAUCUAGUAAAUUCACUUGUGUAUACGUGUAGACCCGACUGAAAUUUGACCUUACCAAACCACGUUUGGUUACUGCUGCUAUAGACUGAACGUUGUCUUCUCCGAACUUAUCUCAUCCAAAACGCCAUUUUCUAUAUUGACCAAAAACAACAGAGGCACUAUCUCUGCAGAAAGAAAGAAAAAAAAAACAAUUCUCUGGGAAAACUGAUUAAUAGAAAAUUACAGUAAUUCAACAGCGCUGAAAAUAAAUGAGUGUUAUCUGUGGGUGGGGUGGAAUGAGGUGGGAGAGUGCUGUUUAGUCUCAGUUGACACACUGGGAAGAGUAAACAAGAGAGAGAGAGAGAGAGAGAGAGAGAGAGAGAGAGAGAGAGGAGUCACCUUGUCAUUUGAGUAAAAAAUUGGAUGGCUGUUAAAGGGACAAAUGGGAGACCAAAGGCAAUGUGACAUUUUAUCUGUUUACAUAAAUUUACAUAGAAUUCUGUGCCAAAAUAAACAACAGUAUGCAUACCUAUUUGCAUAUCUAUUAACUCAACCAUAAUAUGAUUUCGAAGAAGCUGACCAGAUCAUAUGAAUCGCUAAUAUGAAUCAUUUCAACAUGAUUCAGCACCGUAAAGUAAGGAUUCAACAUUAGACGUACAAGAGUAAAGAGCGUAAAGGAUGAUUCACACCAGACAUGUUUCUGAAGCGUUUCUUUGAUUUCCCCUCAAUGCAUCAGACAAAUUUGCCUCCAUGUUAUCUAGUGUUUCAGUACACUGCAUCAGGCUCCAUCAAUAUAGUGUUACAGGUUUGUCAAACUCAAGCCUACACACCACCGUUGCCUUUGUUUCACGCAUCACCAGCAAGUUUGUAAUAGACGUGUGAAGUCCAUAGAAAGCCACUGGAAUCACAAAACGUUUCUAUAGUCUGUGAACUUUAUUUCAAUUCGUGAUUUACAAAUAUGACACGACUGUAUAUAAGGUAGCAACAUAGCAAAGUGUUUGUAUGGAAUGUUAGCUUCGGAAAGAAACGGCUAAUUUCUGUAUUUGUAACCAUCAUUAAUCUCUAUCAACACUGAUUAUGUACAAAAUGUUCCAAGGACAACUUUAUAUCUGGAUCUAACUGCAGGUUGAGCUUGUUUUUAUUGAAAAUAUUGUAUUGUACUGUAAAUAUUACCCUGUAUGGUUCAAACCAAACAUAUUUCAACCUUCACCAUCUGCAUAUACAGUACACAGUAAACCUCCUUCUAGUACCUUAAACCUGGACUAGCCAGCUUCUAAUAUGGAAUCAGGUAGCAGGUGAUGGAUCACUUCAUAUUCUACGAGAGGUGUGUGUAGGUGUGGUGGAAAUGGCAAUAGGCUGAAAUGAUUCAGUUUGCUGACUCACGUCCUACAUCGUGUUGUUGAUUCUUUGAAUUUGAUAACAAAAGUCUGUGUCCUAUUAAGGUUCUACUCGCAGCAAAACCCAUAAAAAGUACACCUCGAGUUAUAAAAUUGUAAACGUAUCUUUCUAUCUGAAUCUUUACCCUUGUCAUCAAGGCAUCAGGGCAUGGUGGGAUUUUAGGAUUAAAGACAGAUAAAUCAAGCAGAAGCAUGGGUUGGCUCACCUGCUGGCAGGAGGGAAUGACUACGGCUAUAAAACUGGAUUUGAGCCCAUGAAUUUCUAAAGCGCAUCAAAAAGGCUGGAAAUACCAUUACACUCUCAGCUCUCUUUGAUGACCGAGUCUAGAGAUUUGGGGAUUUUCAAGCCAGUUGCUGGACAACUAGAUUAGCCCUUCAGCCAGGACGUGGCCAGAAUGGUUGACUAAAGAUAUGCACAAUGUUCCUUAGUUUAAUUAACCAUGCAAUCUCCAGACUGCUUCGCAACAGGCCUAUAUGCUAUUUCUUCAAAGCCAUAACAGGUCGUCUGGGCUCGGAAAAGAGACAGAAGCCCACGGGGGGGAAGUUGAGACAGGAGAGCCCUUUCCAAAAGCUUGGCUCCUUCUCCACCUCCAUAUCCAACACACGUUUUUUUGUGCCAACUCAUUAAGGGUUUGGCACUGAAGGACGAAUGCGCAUUCUCCGACUUCUGGGUGUCUUCCUCACAUUUGGUGAUUUGAUUUUAUUUAUUUAUUUUCUGUCCCUGUCACUGUGGUGUUGUCGCAUGGAUGCAUAUGCUCCCUCCCACGCAUGAAAUGAGACUCUGUCAUCAGCACACUCAUAGAGAACAAUCUCCUGGACACCAAGCAGUCUGGCUUCAAAACCAGUCACUCCACAUAAAUUGCUCUGCUUUCUGUCACUGAAGCAUUACGACUAGCAAGAUCAACUGUCCUCAUCCUACUCAACCUUUCUGCUGCCUUUAACACUGUGAAUAAUCAGAUCCUCCUGUCAACUCUCUCCAGCCUAGGCAUCACCAGAAUGGCUCUGUGCUAUCUCUCAGACAGAUCCUUCAAGGUAUUGUGGAGAAGAAGGGUUUCUGAAACUCAGCAACUCACAACUGGGGUUUCCCAUGGGUCACUGCUCUUUUUUCUAUUUAUACUACGUUUCAGGGGCCUGUGAUUGAGUCUCAUGGCUUCUCAUAUCACUGCUACGCUGAUGACAUUCAGCUCUAUUUGUCUUUCCAGCCUGAUGAUCCAUCCUUCUCAGCACGCAUCUCUGCCUACCUGACUGACAUCUCAAACUGGAUGGGGGAACGCCACCUUAAGCUCAACUUUGCAAAAUCUGAGCUUCUCUUCAUCCCAGCCUGCCCCUUAAUCAACUACAACCUCACUGUACAGCUCGGCUCAACCACAGUCGAGCCAACCAGGACAGCCAGGAACCUUGGGGUGACUUUCGAUGACAACUUGACCUUUACAGACCACAUUUUAACAACUGCAUGAUCCUGUAGGUUCAUUCUAUACAACAUCAAGAAAAUCAGACCUCACAGUUCUCACUGAACAGACUACAUAACUACUAGUCCAGGCUCUUGUCAUAUCAAAACUGGACUACUGCAAUGUACUACUCUCAGGCCUCCCAGCUAGCUCCAUCAAACCCCUUCAGAUGAUCCAGAACGCAGCAGCACCCCUCGUCUUCAACCAGCCCAAGAGAAUCCAUGUCAUACCCCUCUUCAUCUCCCUCCACUGGCUUCCUGUAGCCGCCCGUAUCAAAUUCAAGGCCUUGAUGCUCAUGUACGAGACUUUGUCUGGAACAGCACCCCUCUACCUCAACACUCUCCUUGAGGUUUAUGUUCCCUCAUGCAACCUGUGAUCAGUUAAUGACCGACACCUUGUAUAGUGUCUAGUCAGCAAGGCAUAAGGUCCCUUUCCAAAACCUUCACACUAACUGUCCCUCAGUGGUGGAAUGAACUUCCAACCUCAACCCGGACCACAGAAUCUGUCACUAUCUUCAAAAAACUGCUAAAGACCCACCUCUUCCGUGAACACCUAACUAACCCCUAACUAAAAAAAUAUAUUCUGCACUUACAUUGGCUCUUACACCUCUACUCUGCAGACAAUUCUCUGGAACUCAAUUAAAAAUCUUAUAUGGUAACUUGUAUUGUUCACCACUUGAUAUAUCGCUUUGCUUGUAUUUCCUCAUUUGUAACUUGUUUAAGAUGAAAGCGUCUGAUAAAUGAAUAAAUGUAAAAUGCAAAUAAUUGUAAAAUUGUGUCAUUAUGAAGAGGCAAUAUCAUCAGGUAUCACAGAUUUAUUCAUUUACACACAGUAAUAUAUUUUGCCACUGAUCCGUACAUAGGAUAUGUAUUUCUGUAUAUAUUCUGUAUACAAAUGUAUACAUUUCUUAGAUAGAAUAUAAAAGUCUGCCAUCUUUAAUUCAUCUUUACAGUGGAAUUCAAACCCCGCUAACACACGGUGAGGCCAGAUUCCAAAUAAAUUCCUAAUCACAAUGCACAUUCAACACAUAAAAUAUAACACAAUGCCCCCAUAGAGCUUCCAGUACA